rnacentral:rRNA from 1 species
UACGUAGGGUGCGAGCGUUAAUCGGAAUUACUGGGCGUAAAGCGUGCGCAGGCGGUUGUACAAGACAGGUGUGAAAUCCCCGGGCUUAACCUGGGAACUGCAUUUGUGACUGCAUAGCUAGAGCACGGCAGAGGGGGAUGGAAUUCCGCGUGUAGCAGUGAAAUGCGUAGAUAUGCGGAGGAACACCGAUGGCGAAGGCAAUCCCCUGGGCCUGUACUGACGGUCAUGCACGAAAGCGUGGGGAGCAAACAGG